rnacentral:misc_RNA from 1 species
GCCCCACCGUAAAAUAUAUAUUUACACUAUCAACGCCAGGGUAUUACGAGCCUUAGCUUAAAACCCAAAGGACUUGACGGUGUCCCAUCCAACUAGAGGAGCCUGUUCUAUAAUCGAUAACCCCCGAUAUACCCAACCCCCCCUUGCCAACCAGCCUGUAUACCUCCGUCGUAAACUUACCAUAUGAAUGCCAACAGUAAGUUCAAUGAUUUAACACCAAUACGUCAGGUCAAGGUGCAGCUCAUGAUGGGGAAAGCAAUGGGCUACAAUUUCUAAAAUAGAACACACGGAAUGCUGCAUGAAACACAGCCACGAAGGUGGAUUUAGUAGUAAAAAGUAAAUAAAGUGCCCUUUUUAAUAAGGCCCUGGGACGUGUACACACCGCCCGUCACCCUCUUCAACAGCACACAUAUGUUCUUAACAAGUUUUGCACGGGGAAAACGNUGGCAAGUCGUAACAUGGUAAGUGUACCGGAAGGUGUACUUGGAUUACAAAGUGUAGUUUAACAAAACUCCUCGCUUACAUCGAGAAAUUAUCUGUGCAAAUCAGAUUACUUUGAGCCAAAAAUCAAGCCUAACUACUUUUUAUAAAAACUACACUCAACUAAGCCACAAUAAAACAUUUUAUUAGUUUAGUAAAGGAGAUUAAAAAACUCUUUAGCGCUUUACUGUUAGUACCGCAAGGGAAAGGUGAAAUAGUUUUGAAAUAGCCUUAAGCAAAAAAAAGCAGAGAUUAUUACUCGUAUUCCAAAAUACACCUUUAACCCUUUAUUCCUACUGAAUGAUUCUAUAUUUAUAUAGAAAUCCCCCUGCUAAAACUAGUAACAAGAAAUUGAUUAUUCUCCAAAAUAUUAGUAUAGGCCAAAAUGGACAAACCAUUGGUUAUUAACGUCAAUAAAAUAAUAUAGUAACUUUACUAGAAAAGCCUAUUAAUUCUCACGUUAACCUUACACAAGUAUAUUCUGGAAGAUAAAAGAAAGAGAAGAAUUCGGCAAUCAUAGC